GUUUGUUUGUUUUUUUACAUCCAAGUUACAAAUUACUAAGUUGUGUAAAUUCUAAC
rnacentral:pre_miRNA from 1 species